AAUCAUAUAUUAAAUAAAACUGUUGGAUUACAAUAGUGCAUAUUACACAAGAAAAAUCAUCCAAAUGGGAAGUAUAAUCUAAAUGUUUCUUGACGGCGAAACUUAAAUUAAAAGCAUCCAUAAACAUCCCUACAACGUAACUAAAACACAAUCGAGGAACAUCAUCCCUACAACUUAAUUAAAACUGACACCAUCCGUCUUCAUCAUCAUGAACAGGAACAUCAUCAUCAUCAUCCUUGUAGUAUACUUGCCCCACACACCAAUAGAAUCAUCCAUUUAUCUUUUGAAUCUACAAACAAAAAAACAAAAUGAACUGUUAACACACACAAUGCAUUGACAUGAUGCAAGUAGUCAUAGAGGUAGGAUAUUACUCACUUACAAAGGUUGAGAUGCAAAAACAAAUCUGCAUUACCAAGAGUAUUGCAGUUUUUGCGACUCCGUACCCAAUCUUCAGUUUUCACAAGUGCCAUAUCAACAUGCACUACCCAAAAUUCAUUAGUAAUUUCAGCACCAUCAAGUUCAAAUUUAGGAUCACAACUUACAACUGUAGCAAGAGCUACAUGUGUUACGAUUUUUUAGGCUCAUUAAAAAUACUUUUGUUCCUACCUGUUAGAGAAAAUCAAAGUUACCAUUGAAAGAAUCAUGUCAAGCAAAAUAAUUAAUAGAAACGUGACAUAUAACAGAAAAGGUUGAGAGGCCAAGACAUGUCGUGUUUGCAUCUUCCCCUCUACUAUAUGGUUAUGAAUACAUCUACAGGUUAAUCUC
rnacentral:lncRNA from 1 species